ACACUUACAAGGCGUAGGGGACACCGUGAUCACGAAGGCGGUUCCCCCAGAGCGAGGCUCCUCCAUUGCACUGCAAAUUAAAUUUAUUAUAUGUAACAAAUUUUAGCACUAACAGUAAGUGCGUUCUAUCUUAAUUAGGAUAUUGAACCUAU
rnacentral:snRNA from 1 species